AUUGAACGCUGGCGGCAGGCCUAACACAUGCAAGUCGAGCGGAUGAAGGGAGCUUGCUCCUGGAUUCAGCGGCGGACGGGUGAGUAAUGCCUAGGAAUCUGCCUGGUAGUGGGGGAUAACGUCCGGAAACGGGCGCUAAUACCGCAUACGUCCUGAGGGAGAAAGUGGGGGAUCUUCGGACCUCACGCUAUCAGAUGAGCCUAGGUCGGAUUAGCUAGUUGGUGGGGUAAAGGCCUACCAAGGCGACGAUCCGUAACUGGUCUGAGAGGAUGAUCAGUCACACUGGAACUGAGACACGGUCCAGACUCCUACGGGAGGCAGCAGUGGGGAAUAUUGGACGAUGGGCGAAAGCCUGAUCCAGCCAUGCCGCGUGUGAAGAAGGUCUUCGGAUUGUAAAGCACUUUAAGUUGGGAGGAAGGGCAGUAAGUUAAUACCUUGCUGUUUUGACGUUACCAACAGAAUAAGCACCGGCUAACUUCGUG
rnacentral:rRNA from 1 species